rnacentral:lncRNA from 1 species
AGUGACUGGAGCAACAUGGAGCAGUGGGUAGAGAGUCAGAGUCUCUGGGUUCAAAUCAGGGCUCAGACACUUCCUAGCUGUGUGAUCCUGGGCAAGUCACUUGACCUCCCACUGCCUAGCCCUUUCUGCUCUUCUGCCUUGGAACCAAUGCACUGUACUUAUUCUUAGAUGGAAGGUGAAGGUUUAAAAGAACAACAGCCACAAUGAUAUGAUACUAUGUACUUAUGUAAUAAGGGGAAGAGUUGGUAUCAGAACUUCUUGAAAGAGAGACACGUGUAGUUUGAGAAACUCUUCAACAGAAAGACGGGAAGAUUGGGUGCUGGAGUCAUUGAAGGGAAGCAGGCUCCUAAAGGAGUUACCCCUGCAAAAGUUGAGGAGUGAUUGCAGAUAUGAUUUAACUCAAUGCCCUUCUUGGACCUGGGCUUUUGGAGGAAACAUCCAGUCUUCUUAUGUUUCUAUCACUAGAAAUCACAGUCUCCUUUGGAGGAGGAGUCGAUUCCCCUGGUGCCAGCAGCCCAGUGAAUUUUCACCUAAGCAUGGUGGUAACGUCAUCUUCCUUGUGAGUACUGCAGCAUUCAGCAGUUCCAAUUCCAUCGGGAGCCUCCGAAUGGCACCAUUACAGCAAAUAAUGUAUCCUCUGACUGUCUUCUGUCAGCAUACUGUUUAAUGGAAAAAGAUAUUUUAAUGGACUGCAAAGCUGUAACCGAGCAUACAUACAAAAGGCUCAAGUUGAUGAUCUUUCUCAUUCUUUAUUGGCAACUUUCGGGUUUCGAGGGGUGUUCUUCAACUUCACUCUCCAUCCUCUACAAACAUAGAGAAGGAGGGGUCAAAGGGCAAAGGGAAUUAUGGACAUGUCAGGGUCAAUGUGAUCUUUCAGGAAGAUGACAAUCUGGAGAAUAUGACAAAGUUCAAUUAAAGCUCCAUGCCACUCAGAGACCCAUGAAGAAGUAUGAGACAGCAUCUUCAUGAGACAUUGGGAUGUCUUUUGGAUGCUAUGGGAAUUACUUAUGUUUUUUACGUAGUGUCCUCCCACCUUGAAAGUGACUUAUUUCUAACAGGAGAUGACUGAAGGACCACACUAUCCUUUAGUUACCCUUUUGUCUCCUCAUUCAAAGUCCUGACCACACGACAAUUCUGGAGAAUGUAGCCAUAGUGCUAAAAAGCAUUUAUCACCACCAUUAAAAAAAAAAUUGGAAAAUGAGUAUGAAAGAAAGCUAUUACCUUCUUAACUACCAAAUAAACUCAGUGGUCUAUGUAGAUGAUGAUGAAAU